rnacentral:rRNA from 1 species
GAUGAACGCUGGCGGCGUGCCUAAUACAUGCAAGUCGAGCGAACUGAUUAGAAGCUUGCUUCUAUGACGUUAGCGGCGGACGGGUGAGUAACACGUGGGCAACCUGCCUGUAAGACUGGGAUAACUUCGGGAAACCGAAGCUAAUACCGGAUAGGAUCUUCUCCUUCAUGGGAGAUGAUUGAAAGAUGGUUUCGGCUAUCACUUACAGAUGGGCCCGCGGUGCAUUAGCUAGUUGGUGAGGCAACGGCUCACCAAGGCAACGAUGCAUAGCCGACCUGAGAGGGUGAUCGGCCACACUGGGACUGAGACACGGCCCAGACUCCUACGGGAGGCAGCAGUAGGGAAUCUUCCGCAAUGGACGAAAGUCUGACGGAGCAACGCCGCGUGAGUGAUGAAGGCUUUCGGGUCGUAAAACUCUGUUGUUAGGGAAGGACAAGUACGAGAGUAACUGCUCGUACCUUGACGGUACCUAACCAGAAAGCCACGGCUAACUACGUGCCAGCAGCCGCAGUAAUAC